UACGUAGGGGGCGAGCGUUGUCCGGAUUUAUUGGGCGUAAAGAGCGUGUAGGCGGUUCGGUAAGUCUGUCGUGAAAUCCUGAGGCUCAACCUCGGGCGUGCGAUGGAUACUGCCGGGCUAGAGGGUGGUAGAGGCGAGUGGAAUUCCCGGUGUAGCGGUGAAAUGCGCAGAUAUCAGGAGGAACACCGGUGGUGUAGACGGCUUUCUGGACCGUAACUGACGCUGAGACACGAAAGCGUGGGUAGCAAACAGG
rnacentral:rRNA from 1 species